rnacentral:sRNA from 1 species
AUAUUGCACGUGUCGUGCGGGUGAGAACCUGCGCUCAGGUUCGAGUCGAGCGUAGCGAGACAACAACGCGCAGCGUUGGUCCGAAGGGCGAGGCCAUAGGCCGA